GCUGGCGUGGCCAAGUGGUUAAGGUAUCCGCUUCCUAAGCGGGGGAUCAAGGGUUCGACUCCCUUCGUCGGUU
rnacentral:tRNA from 2 species